rnacentral:rRNA from 1 species
AGUCGAGGGGUAUAAGUAGCAAUACUUAGAGACCGGCGCACGGGUGAGUAACGCGUAUGCAACCUGCCCUUUACUGGAGGAUAGCCCGUAGAAAUGCGGAUUAAUACCCCAUAGUAAUGUUGGAUCGCAUGAUCUGGCAUUUAAAGUUUCGGCGGUAAAGGAUGGGCAUGCGUGACAUUAGCUAGUUGGAGAGGUAACGGCUCACCAAGGCUUCGAUGUCUAGGGGUUCUGAGAGGAAGAUCCCCCACACUGGUACUGAGACACGGACCAGACUCCUACGGGAGGCAGCAGUGAGGAAUAUUGGUCAAUGGGCGAGAGCCUGAACCAGCCAUCCCGCGUGCAGGAAGAAUGCCCUAUGGGUUGUAAACUGCUUUUUCGCAUGAAGAACACCCCUGACGUGUCAGGGGCUGACGGUAAUGCGUGAAUAAGCACCGGCUAACUCCGUGCCAGCAGCCGCGGUAAUACGGAGGGUGCAAGCGUUAUCCGGAUUUAUUGGGUUUAAAGGGUGCGUAGGCGGCUAUUUAAGUCAGUGGUGAAAUCCUGCAGCUUAACUGUAGAACAGCCAUUGAAACUGAAUAGCUUGAGUGAUCUUGAGGUAGGCGGAAUGUGUAGUGUAGCGGUGAAAUGCUUAGAUAUUACACAGAACACCGAUUGCGAAGGCAGCUUACUAAGGAUUUACUGACGCUGAUGCACGAAAGCGUGGGGAUCAAACAGGAUUAGAUACCCUGGUAGUCCACGCCGUAAACGAUGAUAACUCGCUGUUGGCGAUACACAGUCAGCGGCUUAGCGAAAGCGUUAAGUUAUCCACCUGGGGAGUACGCUCG